GACGAACGCUGGCGGCGUGCCUAAUACAUGCAAGUUGAGCGAUGAAGCUUGGUGCUUGCACCAAUUUGAAGAGCAGCGAACGGGUGAGUAACGCGUGGGGAAUCUGCCUUUGAGCGGGGGACAACAUUUGGAAACGAAUGCUAAUACCGCAUAACAACUUUAAACAUAAGUUUUAAGUUUGAAAGAUGCAAUUGCAUCACUCAAAGAUGAUCCCGCGUUGUAUUAGCUAGUUGGUGAGGUAAAGGCUCACCAAGGCGAUGAUACAUAGCCGACCUGAGAGGGUGAGCGGCCGCAUUGGGACUGAGACACGGCCCAAACGGCUACGGGAGGCAGCAGUAGGGAAUCUUCGGCAAUGGACGAAAGUCUGACCGAGCAACGCCGCGGGAGUGAAGAAGGUUUUCGGAUCGUAAAACUCUGUUGGUAGGGAAGAACGUUGGUGAGAGUGGAAAGCUCAUCAAGUGACGGUAACUACCCAGAAAGGGACGGCUAACUACGUG
rnacentral:rRNA from 1 species